AAGGUACAAUAAGAUGGUCAUAUGAUGAAUGAUGAUUCCAAAAUGUAAUAGAUAUCAGACGUGUGGUGUCUCCAAUGUCUAUUUGAAAUAUUGAACUCAUUAUCAUGCACCUUAAUGGGAGACUAUGAACAAGUUAUCAUCAUAACCGUAUCAUUUUAUGAAUCUAAUAAUUUAGAGAAUUUAAUUUUAUUGAUUUGAAAAUAAGAGAAGAAGUUG
rnacentral:lncRNA from 1 species